GCGGAGGAAAAGAAACUAACCAGGAUUGCCUCAGUAAGGGCGACUGAAGUGGCAAUAGCUCAUGAUGUGAAUCUGCGGCCGAAUUGUGGUCUCACUUGUGUUAAGGGCUAGGCCAAGUCCGUUGGAACACGGCAGCAAAGAGGGUGAGACUCCCGUUUGCCUGGCCCUUGGAACAAGUGUGUUUGAGUCGAGUUGUUUGGGAUUGCAGCUCUAAGUGGGUGGUAAAUUCCAUCGAAAGCUAAAUACUGGUGGGAGACCGAUAGCGUACAAGUACCGUGAGGGAAAGAUGCAAAGAAGCGCGAAAGCGCUGUUAAAGAGUACCUGAACUUGCUGAAACGGAAGCGAAGGAAACCAGUGCAAGCUGCGUCAUACUUCCCUGUCUGCUUGCGGUCGGGGCGCUGUGGCCAGUGUUGUCAGGAUUAGUUCAAGGAUGUGAAAAAGUGUGGGCAGAGUCGAUGCCCAUUGC
rnacentral:rRNA from 1 species